UACGGAGGGUGCAAGCGUUAUCCGGAUUCACUGGGUUUAAAGGGUGCGUAGGCGGGCUUGUAAGUCAGUGGUGAAAGCCCGGAGCUUAACUCCGGAAUUGCCGUUGAUACUGCAAGUCUUGAGUACAGUUGAGGUGGGCGGAAUACAUCAUGUAGUAGUGAAAUACUUAGAUAUGAUGUAGAACACCGAUUGCGAAGGCAGCUCACCAAAGUGUAACUGACGCUGAGGCACGAAAGCGUGGGGAUCAAACAGG
rnacentral:rRNA from 1 species